rnacentral:rRNA from 1 species
AAUCAACGCUGGCGGCGUGCCUCAGACAUGCAAGUCGAACGCGAAAUUUCCCUUCGGGGAGAAAGUAGAGUGGCGCACGGGUGAGUAACACGUAGGUAAUUUGCCUUUGGGUGGGGAAUAACUCAGGGAAACUUGAGCUAAUACCGCAUAAUGCAGCGGCUCGACAUCGAGACAGUUGUUAAAGCGGGGGAGUCGCAAGACCUCGCGCCUAAAGAGAAGCCUGCGGCAGAUUAGCUAGUUGGUAAGGUAAUGGCUUACCAAGGCGACGAUCUGUAACCGGCCUGAGAGGGCGGUCGGUCACACUGACACUGACAUACGGGUCAGACUCCUACGGGAGGCAGCAGUCGGGAAUUUUGGG